UAGCAUAUCAAUAAGCGGAGGAAAAGAAACCAACAGGGAUUGCCCCAGUAACGGCGAGUGAAGCGGCAACAGCUCAAAUUUGAAAUCUGGCCCCCGGGUCCGAGUUGUAAUUUGCAGAGGAUGCUUUGGGCGAGGUGACUUCCGAGUUCCCUGGAACGGGACGCCAUAGAGGGUGAGAGCCCCGUCUGGUCGUACACCGAGCCCGUGUAAAGCUCCUUCGACGAGUCGAGUAGUUUGGGAAUGCUGCUCAAAAUGGGAGGUAUAUGUCUUCUAAAGCUAAAUAUUGGCCAGAGACCGAUAGCGCACAAGUAGAGUGAUCGAAAGAUGAAAAGCACUUUGAAAAGAGGGUUAAAAAGUACGUGAAAUUGUUGAAAGGGAAGCGCCUAUGACCAGACUUGCGCCCGGUGAAUCAUCCAGCGUUCUCGCUGGUGCACUUUGCCGGGCACAGGCCAGCAUCAGUUUGGCGCGGGGGACAAAGGCUUCGGGAAUGUGGCUCCUCCGGGAGUGUUAUAGCCCGCUGCGUAAUACCCUGCGCCGGACUGAGGUACGCGCAUCGCAAGGAUGCUGGCGUAAUGGUCAUCAGCGACCCGUCUUGAAACACGGACCAAGGAGUCGUCUUCGUAUGCGAGUGUUCGGGUGUCAAACCCCUACGCGGAAUGAAAGUGAACGCAGGUGAGAGCUUCGGCGCAUCAUCGACCGAUCCUGAUGUUCUCGGAUGGAUUUGAGUAAGAGCAUACGGGGCCGGACCCGAAAGAAGGUGAACUAUGCCUGUAUAGGGUGAAGCCAGAGGAAACUCUGGUGGAGGCUCGCAGCGGUUCUGACGUGCGAAUCGAUCGUCAAAUAUGGGCAUGGGGGCGAAAGACUAAUCGAACCUUCUAGUAGCUGGUUUCCGCCGAAGUU
rnacentral:rRNA from 1 species